UGGUGAUGGGAGCUGUGAGCAGUGGAGGCAUGUUGGAUUCAAGGGAUGCUGGGAUCUAUUCUCUCAUCACCUAUGUACCAUCCACGUUAUUGCCUUCAUGCCCUGUUGAAGAGAAUAUAAAGUCAUCUGAAAACGACAAUUCUGAUACGUACCACGUAUACAGCUCAAUCCCCGACAGACCAGCAACCUCAGCCCAGCCGGAUGGGUUGUACAGUCUUCUGCAGACACACUGAAACUACACCUCUGGUUUGUGUAGCAAUGUCUCACAUUUCAUACAAAUACCCUCUUUCUCACAUGAUGUCCUUUAUUAUCACUCAUCAAGUUACUGUAAAUACGUCUCAUAGAAGGUAAUACAUAUUUUACAUGUAGACCCCUGGCUUAUGUUACAUGCCUGACCAAGGUAUCUGUUACUGUGUUAGUAGUAAUCUACUGUAUUUAUGUCUAAGCGGCAAAAUGUGUAGAACUGCAGGAAAUUAGCUUUAAAACUAACAAAUUCUCUCCUCCCCAUGAUAGAAUGAGUAGAAUUGCAGUACAAUAACAAUAAAGCUGCACAUUUUCUCUCCCCCGCCAUGAGUGUGGGCCACUAAUAUCUUUAGGUGGGCAAAUCUCGCUUAGGCCCCCCAAAAUGCUAGAAACUGCCCUUAUCUACUGUAUCACACAUGGACACCUGGUUUCUGUUACAAUCCUAUCCAUAAUAAUGGUUACUGUGUUGGUAUUUUUAUUCAGGGGUUUAAGAGGGGUUUGGGGCAUACUCCCCUUUAAACAUUUUUCUUAUUCCCCCCUCA